GGGUUCAGGGUUUAGGGUUUAGGGUAUUUUUUUUUUUUUUUUGUUUGUUGCCAUCCUUGCUUCUUGGGCCGAACUUCCUUAGAGGCUUCCCUCCUCGUACUUCACACACCCAGUCAGCUCAGGCCACCUUCACAUUUGUGGGCCGAACUUUCCUAGUGGGCUAGGUACUUCACACACCCACCUAUGCUAGGCUUAUUGGAUAACUAACCCACUCCUUGUGAGAUUUUUCCAACGUUCGAUUUGGGUAAUUUUC
rnacentral:lncRNA from 1 species